UGCAGUCGACGGAAGCAGAAAUGCUUCAGUGGCAGACGGGUGAGUAACGCGUAKGAWWCUACCUCUAGGAGGGGAAUAGCCAAUCGAAAGGUCGGGUAAUACCCCAUAGUUCUCGUAAGAGUAAAGGACUUAACGGUCCGCCAAGAGAGGAGCCUGCGUCCUAUCAGCUAGUUGGCGGGGUAAAAGCCCACCAAGGCAAUGACGGGUAGCUGGACKGAGAGGUCGAUCAGCCACAACUGCACUGAGACACGGGCAGUACACCUACGGGUGGCAGCAACCAGGAAUAUUGCGCAAUGGACGAAAGUCUGACGCAGCGACGCCGCGUGGAGGAAGAAGGCCUUAGGGUCGUAAACUCCUUUUGCCAAGCUGUUCACAGCUUGGCGAAUAAGCACCUACUAACUACGUGGCCCAUUAAAUUGGGUUGGCGCGUAGUAUAAAUUUCACUAUAUGCUGGAAACUUCUGUAAAUGCUAGAUUACUCUUUUGAGUGACAAUAUCUAGCCAACCCUAAAAAACUUUACGAGAUUAGUAUAAGGGUUGCGGAACAAUCAGCAGGGAAGACUUCGAUUUAAUAUUGGAGAACCCUCAGAGACUAUACGUGGAACACUCGAAGGAGUGAAGAUAUAGUCCAAGGUCGGAAUCGUUAGAUUUAUUUAACGGACCGGGCCAGAAGUCUCGGUAAUACGUAGGGUGCAAGCGUUAUCCGGAUUCAUUGGGCGUAAAGUGUACGUAGGCGCCUUUUCAAGUCA
rnacentral:rRNA from 1 species